rnacentral:lncRNA from 1 species
UACACCACCAAGUGUCUGCUGACUGGGCGGCUUGGCCAGCGGUUGGCUCUGUUUGUGCCAGAUACUGCUUUGCUGUGCCUCCUGGAAGCAAGGCCCCUGUCACUAGCGAGACCCCAGAGACACAAAGAGCUGUGACACAGGCCCCCCGCUUGGGCAGCUCCUGGUCCAGCUGGAGAAAUAAGAUGUAUGCAUACGUGAGGAAUCAAAACAACAAAUGCCCUCCAUUGAGGACACCCAUUGUGAUGUCCCUUGAGGGGUUUGGGUUCUGCUAAAAGUUCAAGAGAGGAAGAAAGCCCGUACUUUGUGAUCCUGGAAAUUCUUCACACAGGAAAUCAGAUUUGAGCUUUGUCCUAAAAGCAUGCUUCUCAUGGUCCACGAUGGCUGCUGCAACUCCAGCCUUCACGUUCCCAUUCCAGGCAACAGGAAGGAGGAAGGGAUGAAGCAGGAAGAGAAUGGAAGACUAAACAGGGUCAUCAAUUCCUUCACACUUUUUCCAUUGACAAGUGGAGUCUAUGUCUCCUCAUCUUGAAUCUGUCUGUGACUACUUGGUUCACUGGAAGGUGGCAGAAGUGAUGUUACACCAGUUUCCAAGUUCAUGUCUUAAGAAAAUGGCAGCUUCCACACUCUUUAGGAACAUUCUCUCUGGAAACCGUGAGGUGCCAUGUGAUGCACCUGACCACCCUUCCAGCCAUCCCCAUUAAAGUGCCAGGGAUGUGCAUGAAGCCAUCUUGGCCCCUGUAGACCAGCCCAUCCAUCAUCUAUCACCAAGUGACCUCAGUAGAGGAAAAAAUCAUAUCACCUCUUUGAGUCCUAGCCAAGUUUCUGACCCAGAAAAUUGUGAAAAACAGUAACAAUGACUGGCAUUUUAAACCACUAAGUAAUGGAAUUUUGAACGUUAAGUUUUGCAGCAAUAGAUAACCUGAAGAGAAUUUGCUAGAUGGAAGUGGAUUGCUGCUAUAACAGAAACCUAACACAUGGCCUUGGUUUUGAGAUGAGGCACUGGGCAAAAGCUGAGGGGACCUCAUGAAGAUAGUUUUUUGUUGUUUUGUUUUGAGACAGGGUCUCAUUCUGUUGCCCAGACUGGCAUGCAGUGGUGCAAUACUGGUUCAGUGCAACCUCCAUCUCCCAGGCUCAAGCAAUUCUCCUGCCUCAGCCUCCCAAGUAGCUGGGAUUACAGGCAUGUGCCACUACCACCUGGCUAAUUUUUUUUUUUUUGUACUUUUAGUACAGAUGGGGUUUCACCAUGUUGCCCAGGCUGGUCUGAAACUCCUGACUUCAAGUGAUCCAGCCGCCUCGGUCUCCCAAAGUGCUGGGAUUACAGGUGUGAACCACCAUGCCCGGCCAAAGAUUGUUAAUAAAAGCUGGAAGGACUCCAAAGAUUCUGUUCACAAGAGCUUAGAGGAGAGUGAGGAAAACAUCACUGGAGGCUGAACAGAAAGCUUGGACACACUGUCACCUGUGGUAAACUGGAAAAUAGGAAAGUACCUGAUGAACUCAGAGGUCUUCAGAGAAGAAUCCAGGCAGAGAUAGAAGACACUGCUGGCUUCUCAUACCUGCCUAUGAUAAGCUAUAGGAAGAAAGAGUGAACUAAGGAAAGAACUACCAGGGUGCAGAGCAGAGCUCAGAGCGAGUGCAAAGGAGCCAGGACCUUCCGGGUGUGAUAACAAACCUGUUUCUCAUCUCCAUCCUGUCUCAGCAAAAGUGUCACAGUAAGAAAUGGCUUCAGGACAAAGAUCAAAUCUUUGUACAGAAUGACCUUGGAGUGAAGAUUUCAUUGAGUAUGACUGUAAGACUUUAAUAACUGCCAAAAUAUUUAAGGAUAUGAUAUGCCUGGAUACUGGAAGGUGGGGGCUUCUAAGAGUCUUAAAGGCAUGCUUUACAGACUUUCUCAGACAAUACAGCUUUAAAGAAUUUAAAUGCUAUUAGCAUUGCUCACAAUAGCUUUGCCUAUUGCUAAAGGUGGAGAAAGAUCUGACAUGGAAAGAAAUGUGACUUUUCUUUAAUGGAAUUGACCACUGAUUGGUAUAUGGGUAACCCACGAAGUUUUUAAGGGAAUUGUAUCAGCUUGGACUAAAAGGAUAAAUGUAGUACAAAAUGAAUUUUAUCCUGCUGGAAUGUUGAGCCUUUUAUUUCCAACAGCUUCUCAUGGUCCAAGAUGGCUGCUGCAACUCCAGUCUUCACAUUUCCAUUUCAGGCAACAAGAAGGAAGAAGGGAUGAAGCAGAAGAAGUAUGGAAGACUAAAGAGAACCAUCAAUUCCUUGACACUAUUUCUAUUGACAAGUGGAGUCUAUGUUCCCUCCUCCUGAAUCUGUGACUACUUUGUCCACUGGAAGAUGGCAGAAGUGAUGUUAUACCAGUUUCCAAGCUCAAGUCUUAAGAAAAUGGCAGCUUCCACACUCUUUAGGAACAUUCUCUCUGGAAGCCAUGACCUGCCAUGUGAUGCACCUGACCACACAGCUAACAACAUUCCAGCAGGAAUCCAGCUCAGCUGGGAACAGUCUGAGAAGAAUACUUCUCUGUGAAGACUUCUUAUUUCUUAUUUCUUUUUUCAGCUGCCAUUUCUUAUGAAGAAACUGUCAGGAGCCACUGGGAGUCACUCCCAGAAAGCAAGAUUUUGCUUUAAUCAAGGAACUGGAGACAUGGGCUUGACUGGAUUUCCAAAUUGCUAUGUACCAAUCAUGGCUAAUGCCUCCUUUCCCUGUCUCUUUUGAAUAAACAGUGUUAAUUGGAGUUUCCCUAUCCAGCUAUUACCAUUGUCGUUAA